rnacentral:lncRNA from 1 species
AUAAAUCAUUGUAGAAACGCUAGUUUGGGCCUGAAAAAUUCCAGGAGCAAGAGUCAAGAUUUGUCACUCCAUGAGAAUCUGGAGGGGACUCCCUUCCCAGAAACUUGACGAUGAAGUACUGGUUGUAAUUUUAGAAAGACACCCAAUCGGCUUUUUUAAAAGAUCGCCCAGGGCCCUUGUCCUGAGAGCUGGGAGCUGGUCGGAGUGACAGAGAAGCCAUGGAAGCAGCAGUGAAAGAGGAAAUAAGUCUUGAAGAUGAAGCUGUAGAUAAAAACAUUUUCAGAGACUGUAACAAGAUCGCAUUUUACAGGAAGAAAAGCGUAUUAUGUUAAUUCUGAACAGGUAUCUAGAGGGAAGUCUACAGUGAAUGCCUGGCGUCAGAAACAGUGGCUUUCCAAGAAGUCCACCUAUCAGGCAUUAUUGGAUUCAGUCACAACAGAUGAAGACAGCACCAGGUUCCAAAUCAUCAAUGAAGCAAGUAAGCCUGUUUGCAAGGUUUCACCAGAGACAACACUUCCAGCAGCUUCUCCGAGGAUGCAGGAAUAUCUCUGAGCACCUCUGUGAAGUUACCCCUUGCCUCUUCAUCUAAGCCUAAUGAAAAUGAAGCUUUGCCCAACCAGCCACCUUCUCAGCAGAUAAGGCACAACUACCGCUUAUUAGCCAGUACUGUGUCUGCAGAAAUGGCCAGGAACAGGCAGCUAAUUUGGGAACUGGCCAGACAAUCAGAAGCACACCUGGACAGGCCAGUUGUCCUUGGGGAACAGGCCAGUGCCCA